rnacentral:rRNA from 1 species
AUUGAACGCUGGCGGCAGGCCUAACACAUGCAAGUCGAACGAGUGGCGGACGGGUGAGUAAUGUCUGGGAAACUGCCUGAUGGAGGGGGAUAACUACUGGAAACGGUAGCUAAUACAGCAUACCAUCGGAUGUGCCCAGAUGGGAUUAGCUAGUAGGUGGGGUAAAGGCUCACCUAGGCGACGAUCCCUAGCGGGUCUGGGAGGAUGACCAGCCACACUGGAACUGGGACACGGUCCAGACUCCUACGGGAGGCAGCAGUGGGGAAUAUCGCACAAGGGGCGCAAGCCUGAUGCAGCCAGGCCGCGUGUAUGAAGAAGGCCUUCGGGUUGUAAAGUACUUGCAGCGGGGAGGCGUUACCCGCAGAAGAAGCACCGGCUAACUCCGUGCCAGCCGCCGCGGUAAUUC